CACGUAGGGCGCAAGCGUUGUCCGGAAUUAUUGGGCGUAAAGAGCUCGUAGGCGGUCUGUUGCGUCCGCUGUGAAAACCCGGGGCUUAACCCUGGGCUGGCAGUGGAUACGGACAGACUAGAGGUAGGUAGGGGAGAAUGGAAUUCCCGGUGUAGCGGUGAAAUGCGCAGAUAUCAGGAGGAACACCGGUGGCGAAGGCGGGUCUCUGGGCAAUAACUGACGCUGAGGAGCGAAAGCGUGGGGAGCGAACAGG
rnacentral:rRNA from 1 species